rnacentral:rRNA from 1 species
UACGAAGGGGGCGAGCGUUGUUCGGAAUUACUGGGCGUAAAGGGCGUGUAGGCGGUUAGGUAGGUCCGUUGUGAAAACUCGAGGCUCAACCUCGAGACGCCGAUGGAAACCAUCUGACUAGAGUCCGGAAGAGGAGAGUGGAAUUCCUGGUGUAGCGGUGAAAUGCGCAGAUAUCAGGAAGAACACCCGUGGCUAAGGCGGCUCUCUAGUACGUGACUGACGCUGAGACGCGAAAGCGUGGGGAGCGAACAGG